CGAGACGCGUGGGAGCUGAGAGCUGGGUCUUUGCGGGCGAGAUGAAGGUGUCGGUUCAACUGGCCUACAAAGUCCCAGUCCUCGGCCCCCAGGACCGACG
rnacentral:pre_miRNA from 8 species